GAGUUAAUCCCUAGUUAACCACUUCGAGCCUAGAAGUAGGUGUUUCUUUCGGAUCUAAAAACCCUUACGCUUAACCUGGGGCAGGGUAAUGUUUAGUUGAUUCGACUAUGCAUUCGGAUUACAAGACGAAAUAUCCCGUCUAGGGAUCAAUCACAUGAUAUUCUUUGCACACGUACCAAAGUGUAGAAUCCAAAAGCUAUGAUGGUGGUUCUUCAACAACCAAUGACUUGGCAGUCACACCCCUUUAACAAAAAAAAUCGAAAAAAAGGAAAAAGCAAAAACCCGCUAAGUCGGACCCCCAAAGGAGUGACUCAGGCAAAAAUUAGGGAAAAAAACAAAAACAAAGAAAUCAAAAAGAGGUCGUUAAAUCCUUAAUCAAGGCAAAGCAAAAUAAGGUGACCACCAUAUAAGGAAUCCAAAGGUCACUGACAUCCGUGGAAAAUAAGGUGACUGCCAUUUCAAGCGAACCUUGAAUCAUCAUCUUCAUUCUUACACUGUCAAACUCUCUUAAAGGAAGAAUGCAUAUGCUAAAAUUAACUGAACGUAG
rnacentral:lncRNA from 1 species